AACUCGCCUGCAUGAAGUCGGAAUUGCUAGUAAUCGCAGAUCAGCAUGCUGCGGUGAAUACGUUCCCGGGCCUUGUACACACCGCCCGUCACACCAUGGGAGUCGGUAACACCCAAAGUUGGUAGCCUAACCGCAAGGAGGGCGCCGCCUAAGGUGGGAUUGAUGACUGGGGUGAAGUCGUAACAAGGUACC
rnacentral:rRNA from 1 species